UACGAGGGGGGCGAGCGUUGUUCGGAAUUAUUGGGCGUAAAGGGUGCGUAGGCGGUUUGGUAAGUCUGAUGUGAAAUCUAUGGGCUCAACUCAUAGUCUGCAUCGGAAAACUGCCGGGGCUUGAGUAUGGGGAGAGGUGAGUGGAAAUUCCUGGUGUAGCGGUGAAAAUGCGUAGAUAUCAGGAGGAACACCUGUGGCGAAAAGCGGCUCACUGGACCAUAAACUGACGCUGAUGCACGAAAAGCUAGGGGGAGCAAAAC
rnacentral:rRNA from 1 species